rnacentral:siRNA from 1 species
AAACCUUACCUGAACGGAGCGCAA